UAAAAGAAAGGAAAUCAGAUUAGGGAUUAGGUUACAUGAAAUUUUCCUCUUCUUAUCACACGCACGCGAGAAACGGCGGCCGCUCCUCCUCAUUCUCCGAUCACCUUUCCGCGAGCAUCACCGUGACGGUGUUCCGGCCACCACCGCAACGAGUCUUCCUUCAUCUCUGCUCUUAGCUCAAUCUCAAACUCUCUGCUUCAAUCUCUCUUUCCUCGUCGAUUUGCUCUCUCUCGAUUCAGACUUCAUUCACUCUCUGAUUCAACUCAACGACCGGAGAUCAGUCCCCAUGUGUCUUCAAUUUGAUCUUAAAGAUGAUAAAUCCAGGGAAUAUGCUUCGAAACUUCAGUGAUGGUGAUGUGAGAUCACAGAUGUGAAUCGCGAUGUUGAUCAAUGCGAGUUGCUGCGUGUCUGAUAUGAACGCGUUGUUUGUUGGAGUUGCAAUGAAGAGAGGUGCGAUUAAGAUGAAGAACGGAUGAAGAUGAAGACCAGAUUAAAGAACUGUGUUGAUGUUUGUGGACGUGGAAGAUGAUGAAGAAAAUUGAAAUUGUUGUGUCGCGAUGAAGAUUGAAAGGAUCGAAGGUCGAAUCAGAGGGAAGAUUGAAGUGUAUGGAGAUUGAAGAUUGACACCAAGGUGAUGACUAUGCUCUGAGGAAGGUGAAGAUCGGUUUUCUGGAGAUUGAAGAUGAUGAAACGUGAAUGAUUCUAUGAUGACGCUCUAUGGUGAAGAUUGGAGAUGGAGGUUUUCUGAACUCAGAGCUGGAAGUUUGAAGUUCGGUUUAUUCUGAAGUGCAUGGACUUUUGCUGCAGUGAACAAGGGCAAAGUUUGGAGAAUGAAUCAUCAAUCGAAGAUGAAUCAAUUGAAGAUGAAUUAGGAAGCUUCGCUUUUAAGGCAAUUUGGUGUAUUUUUUCUAUGACUGUAACGUAACGUUAGGACAUGGUAAUGAUUCAAUUUUUGUAACGCUUUUAGAUGUAUUGUAAACUUCAAUAGACAAAAUCCUUCAAUUAUUUGAAA